GUCCCUUUGGUACAUCCGAUGAAAUUGGAACAAUAUAGAGAAGACUAUGGUGCAUGCGUAAAGUUGACGUGCACAAACCGAAAGUGGUCUAAGUUUUUU